UUGUAGGCAAGGGAAAUGAGGGAUCGCGCAGUUCAAUAUUUUUCAAGACUAGACAAGCAGGGGACUAGAACUGAACGCCCACAUCCAGUUCGCUAAAAAAAGGCGUACUUCUUCAAUCAAGGACAAUUGGUGAAGCUUUCUCUUCAGGAUACUUAAUUGCGUGGCCUUCAACUUUUAUUUGAAACAAGGAUAAUUGACUUGCAGCUGAAUACUUCGGUUGGAACAGGAAGCAAAUAAAAUUUGAAGAUUUUACUUCCCAAUAGUUGUAGUUUACACUGCUAGAUUGAAAAAUGUAAUAUUAUUCAAAAGAUCUUUUUCUUUGGUCGAAUUUAUGCAAAUGCCAUGGUGUAAUAUUCUCCAUACUUGUGUUUUCUAUAGUUAAAUUGAUAUAAAUGAU